rnacentral:lncRNA from 1 species
UCAACAUCACCUGGAAUGUUUUACAAAUACAAAUUCAUGAGCCCUGCCAGAUGAGUCAGAAUCUCUGAGGAUGGGGCUCUCAGGAGUAAUUGUUUUAAAAAUCUCUCCAGGUGAUUCUUAUGUACCUAAAGUUUAAGAAGCCUUCGUCUAGCAGACAUUUUCCUUUAAGAAAGCACUCUGAAGACGUGCAUGCUUCUCUAUCAAGGAGAAAACCAAAUGAAAUGAGCAGAUUAAAAGGCAAGACUCCUGGUGGAAAGUAGAUGGGCAAACAUGCUAGAAACAUUGUGAGGUGUGAGAAGGAGGAUAAAAAACCAGAUAGGAGGAGCACCAUGGUUCUCCAAGGAAUAACAUGGAAAAACGUGAACACAGGAAUGCAAACUCAAAGGAGGACUGAAGGAAGUUCGCCUGGAACCAGAAGUUCCAAGAAAUGGCAGAAGUACUGAGGAUGUAAGCAUCUUCCACACUGAGGAGAGAAUGGCCGUUCCACUCAUGAGGGGGAUGAAAAUGGAAAAGAUCAUUAUGAAGUUAAAAGGGCAAAUGACCUCCUAGAAUAAAGAAAACAUGUCCCUUGCGGCUGACCAUGGACAUAUAAGUAAAUUCCAGUCAGAAGAGUAGAGUGAAGAUGUUAUAUAGUUGAUCUGGGGGACUUUCCGUUGGUGACUCAGUUCUGUGGUGUGACUUUCAGAUCCAUUCUCAAAACUACAAUUUAUUAGUCAACUUUUGCUCAAAAUUUUAUUUGUUUAUGACAUGGCUUUCUUUCUCUCCUGGGCUUGUGAGUUGGCUGUGGCAGCUCUAUUUCAGGCUGCAGAUCAGGAUCAAUUAUGCUUCAUAGACCUAUCAUUCUGAGAUGCAGGCUGAAGUAGCAGCAACUUCCUAGGGCAUGCUCUUCUCACGAUGGAUGGCAGGAGCACAAGAGAGUGAGUGGAAAUGCAGGAUUCUUAAAGCAUCUACUCAGAAUGGGUGUAGUGUCACAUUCACUUGGUCAAAUACUCUUUGAGCGUCUGACAUAUACUCUGUUCUAUUGGGAGACACCUCAAUGUCACAUGACAGAGAGCUUGGAUGUACAACCCAGUAACAUAGAGGGAGCAAAGAGUUGGCAAUAGUAAUCCAAUCUACCACACUCAGAUUAUGUUCUGUUUCUAAAAAUUCCCAAGGAUAUUAUAAGCCAUUGAAUUUCCUAUAAAAAAUUCCUAUCUCACUUUAUCUUGAAUGGCUUCUGUUCUCUGCAGAUAAAUUCUGACUGAAAUUUUCCAGAACAUUUUAUUUUUUAACUCAUCUACAAUUUUUCUGGUGCAAGAUCAGAAAGAAGAGUGUUCAUCUGCCAUUUCUACCACUAAACAUGUUCUUCACCUCUACUCUGUGAAGCAACAUGCUCUUCCACUAUGGGCUUUGAGUGGGAUAGCCAUCCUACCAUGGGCAGAACAUGUGAUAUCAUCUUAAUCAAACAAGAAUGGAUAGGUAUUGAAAUACAGUGGAGUUGGGGUAAUCGUAUGGAUCCCAUAGAGAUUAGAAACUAUGAAUGCGGGGCCGGCCCGUGGCCGAGUGGUUAAGUUUGUGCACUCUGCUUCAGUGCCCCAGGGUUCGGAUCCUGGGCGCAGACAUGGCACCGCUCACUAGGCCAUGUUGAGGCGACAUCGCACAUGCCGCAACUAGAAGGACCCAUUACUAAAAUAUACAACUAUGCACGGGGGGGAUUUGGGGAGAAAAAAAAAAGAAACUAUGAAUGCCCCAGGAAAGAAUAAAACUGAUAGAAUGAUGAAGACUAAAGAUUCAGUGUGCUGUUCUGAAUAUGAGCAGCUAUUUACAGUGAACACGGUAAAUGGGAAUAGCUUAGAGUUAGCAGUAGAUCUAGGCUAAAGGAAAAGAAUGGAUAUCCCUAUCCUCUCUUUCCUCCCACCAUCCAGUCUCCUAACAGUGCCACCUCUUGUCCAAACUCAAACAAAUGUUGACCAAUAAGGAAGCCAGGUGAUGUGGUCCAUAGAAGUCAGAUUCCUGGGGAAUACAGCAGAGAAAAGAAGAGGAGGAGAAUGAAUUUUGGGGGGUUGAUAGCAAAAUCAACUUUACUUUUUCCUACCUACUGAAAUCAUUUUGUCUUAUCCAGCACACCUCGAGGUCAAUUAUCAGCAAAAUUUCCUAUAUUCUCAAACUUUGCUCAAAAAAUUUCCUUCUUCUUACUCAAACUGAAACUCGGAAUUCUUCCCAAAAAUCUGCUUCCCAUGACAACCUCAUAAGUGGUGCCUGUUUUCUUCCUAUAUUCCUAUACUCCUCUUAUCUACAAGUGGGGUUGCUCUUCAUUGCUGCUUCCAAAAACAUUCUCCUUCUCUCUUUAAGUACCCCAACAUUUGAAUCUCAUGCCAGUAGGAUGUAAUACCCACUAUUCCUUAUUGCAGCCAUCCAUAGCUCUUUAAGCUCACAUCUGUUAUUUUACGAAUAUGUGAGCUCCUGAUUCACUGACAUUUUCUGAUAUACUACUCCUUUUAUAAUUAUAGCUGAUAGCUGAUUCCAAUAUCCAUUUUGAUGACUGUUCAAAUAUUUAGCUAUUAGUUUCUUACCUUUCUUUUAUCCAAUGAUCUUGUCUUCCAUCAUACCUUAGUCACAAGAUAAUGGCCAUAGAAUUUGUUACUACUGGUAAACAUAAUCUCUUCAGAACUCCAGUUCAAGCCUCCUGCCCUUCAACUACCACCUGCUUUCUUUCAACUUACUCCCUCAACUCAACCACCACUGUACCUUCAAUCCAUUGAUUCUAUAAUCUUGUUUUCACUCUCAUGUCCCUCUUGUCCUCACUUUCUUUUUAGCCCAACUUAAAUUCUAUGCUCAGUCAUCAUUAUUCCUUCCUUACAUAGAUCCUCAAAUCUCUUGCCCUUCUCUCACUAAGUCAUACUUUCUUGGACCCACCACAGCUGAUUAAUUCCACUUUUCUGCGUAGUCCUUGAUGGCAUCUACAUAGUUAAACAGUGCUGGAACAAACCACAUGCCAUUGUAUUUAGGCCCUCCUAAAUUCAUUGUCACUCACUUUAUGUUAUCCUAAUGUUAUCCAGAAAUCACACAAAAUUUUCCUAGUCUGUUCUCUCCUAGGAUACUAGUUUAUAAUUUUUUCUUUCUCUUCACAUUCCCAGCACCUCCUUUUCCAUUAUCAUCCUCAGCUGGUGAUGUUGUAUUCCAUUUUACUAAAAUAAUAAUAAUAAUAAAGCAAUCAGAAGAAAACACAAGUUUCCACCACCACAUCUACCCACUUGCCUUUAUCUGUGUGUAUAUGCUCUAGAAUGUCUAUGAAUGACCUGUUGAUAUACCUAGAUAAGGCCAAAUCUUCCACUAAUGAACUAUAUCCCUUCUCCACUGAGUCAAGCACUUUGUCCCAGCAAGACUGCUCUUUUUCUCCUGAAUCUUUUCUCCUGAAGCCGUUCCAUCUACCAGAUCAUUUCCAUCUGCAUGAAAACAGGCUAUCAUUCCUCCUGAGGUUGACCUCACUUCUAGCUUCAGCUACCACCACAUUUUCUUCCUUCCCACUACAGCAAAAUUCCUUGGUUUCUUUUCCUUUUUAACACUGCUGUCUCCAACUUUUCUUCUUUCAAUCUCUCUGGAACCCUCCAUGUUUCAACCACUGCAAACUUCUUGCAUCAAGGUCACUAAAAAGCUCCAUUGAUAAAUCCAAUGGCAAGUUCUUGAUAUUCAUACUAUUUGCUCUAUCAGUAGCUCUUUACAGAGUGAGUCACUCUCAUUCCUGAAAUGCUUUUUUCCCCACUUAACUUCUAGGACAUCACACACAUCCGUUUUUCCCUUCUUCCUUUCUAGCUGUUCAGCUCAUCAUCUUUUCCUAGGUUAUCUUUUUCUAGGUCAUCAACCUGACCUCUACAUGUUGGAUUGCCCUCUGACUUGAUCCUUGGACCUCUGUUACAUCUAUACUUACCCCAUUGUCAGCAAAACCUGAAUCCUCAUCCAGGAGCAUGGCAUGAAAUGUCAUUUUUAUUCUGAUGACUCCCAAAUGUAUAUCUCUAGCCUGAAAUCUUAACAUUUAUAUGUGAUACAUAAACUGACAUUUCAAAUUUAACAUGUAUAACAUUGACCUUGUAACUCCUAUACAAAGCUGUUCCUUUCCCAGUUUUUUUCAUUUCGAUUAAUGAUAAUUCUAUACUUUUAUUUGCUCAGAUCUAAAAUCUUGGUGUCAUCCUUGAUAUUUUACUUUAUUUCACAUCCCACAUCCCCUGUGUUAGCAAAACCUAUAGACUCAGCCUUCAAAUUAUAGUUGCUUCACCCUCUCCACUCUCAUGAUUAACCACCAUCAGUCCUAGGCCAGCAUUCUGCAAUAAUAUAACUAUCACUCCAGUGCUUAUCUUUCUCCUCUUUAACUUAUUCUUAAGAGAGUAGUCUACAGGAUUUAUGUUAAAAAUUAGGUCAGAUGAUGUCACUCUUGAGCUCAACAUCAUGUAAUGGUUUCUACUCUUCCUCAGAGUAAAAGCCAAAGUCCUUUCUAUGUUAAUCGAGGGCCUACAUGAUAUAUAUCCCUUCCCUGCCAUGUUAUUCUGUGACCUUAUAUACCGCACUCUCAUUCCACUCCCAACCAGAGUAGCUUCUUCAUUCUUUCUUGAAGUUGUCAGGCAAGCUCCCAUCUCAGGGCCUUUCACCCUCUGCCUGGAAUCCUCUUCUCCCAAAUAGCUUUAUGGCUCACUUCCUCAUUUUCUAGAAGUUUCUAUACAAAUAUUACCUUCUCAGUGAUGCUUUUUCUGGCAACUCAUUUUAAAUUUUUUAUUCUGUCCCUCAAAUUAAAACAUAGGAAAUAUGUGAAGAGAUACUAGUGUUUGGUGUGUUUUAUUUAUUUUUUUAUUGUGUGUUUUCCAUACAUGGUUCAUACAACAUGUUUUUUCGAACUAAGCAAUGUGUCCUGAGGAGCUAUGUAUACAAAUUUAUCCAAUUGUGUAUCAUUCUUUUUAACUGCUACAUAGUAUUCUAUAGUGUGGAUACACCAAAGUUUUCUAGUUCUUCCACUAUUAAUGGACAUUUACAUUUUUUCCAUUUUAAGUUAUUACAAAGGUGAUUUGAAACUCCUGUGCAUGCAUGUUUGAGUUUGUACUUAUUAUUCUUACAAAUAAUGAGAAAUCAAAUUUCAAAGUCAUGGACUAUGCAUGUUUUUGUGGUUAAUAAUUUUACCAAACUACCAAUUACACUGUCAACAGCAGUGUAGGAGAGAUCCUAUACCUCUCCAACCAUAUCAACAGCGCUGCUUUCAGAUUUUGUAACUUUCUACUACUCUGAUGGGUUAAAAGCAAUGGUGUGUAUUAUCUUUUUUUAAAUUUGAACUUGUGUUAUUGCUUGUUCAUCUUUUAAUCUGUUACUGAUCAUUUGUACUGCCUAUUCUAUGAAGCAAUUUCUGUGAAUUGCUUCUUGUGAGUUUUGCCCACUUUUGAAUUUGGUUGUUUUAUUUUUUAUGAUUUAUAGUAAUAAUUUGCAUAUUAUUGAUACUAAUCCUCUGAGAUAUAUAUUGCAAAUAUUGUCCUAUGAUCUUACACUUGUUUUACAAAUUUAUGCUAUUUUCCAUAUAAAUAAAUUUAAUGUAGUCAUACAUAUGAUU